AUCAUUUGCAGCGGUCCAUGAACAAUUGGCUACGACGUCAUUGAUGUCGUUCCAAAAUAGAAUUGCGUUGGACAUGCUAUUGGCUAAGGAACAUGGUGUGUGCGGAAUGUUUGGUGAUGCAUGUUGUACUUUCAUCCCCAACAACAUGGCACCAGUGGGGCGACUGACUGGCGUUGGAAGGACUAAGGACACUGAAUAAAAAGAUGAAAGAUCAUUCAGGUGUACGCACCGAUAUUUGGUCUGAUUGGAUGAAAACGUUCGGAAGCUGGAAAGGCCUCAUCAUGUCUGUGCUUGUUGCUGUGGCUAUUUUUACUGCAAUAAUGAUUUUAUGCGGUUGUUGCUGUAUUCCAUGUGUUAGAUCACUCACUGUUCGGUUGAUCGAGAAAACCGUUGGCCCGUUGUCACCGAAGGGCCAAUAUACCCUGGUGACUCAACAUGAGCCGCGGUGGGGAAGAAAGGACCGACAGUGUGCUGGUCGCUGCUUGCUAGAGAAACUGGUGAUGACCUCAUAAAUGAGGUCAUGAGAGGGAAUAAAGGGAAAUGUACUUUCGGCAGUUUGCAAACAUAUUUGAUUAAGGCUGCAUUAGACAUAUAUAAUCAUAUCAAUAUAAUUUCUAGUGUGCUCGUGUGGAUUGGUGUGGGGCG